rnacentral:rRNA from 1 species
UGGUUUAAUUCGAAGCAAACGCGAAAGAACCUUACCAAAUCUUGACAUCCUUUGACAACUCUAGAGAUAGAGCUUUCCCCUUCGGGGGACAAAGUGACAGGUGGUGCAUGGUUGUCGUCAGCUCGUGUCGUGAGAUGUUGGGUUAAGUCCCGCAACGAGCGCAACCCUUAAGCUUAGUUGCCAUCAUUAAGUUGGGCACUCUAAGUUGACUGCCGGUGACAAACCGGA